UUUAGAAAGAAAAUCAACAUUCUCAUUUGCUAAGUGGAUUGGAAAAAUGAAUUCAAAUCUCGUUGAAUUGAAUUUACAAAAUUUUACGACCUAUAUUUAUUAUACAAGAGAAAGCUUUUAAAAUGUGAAAUAAGAAAAGACUUAAAUAGAAGUCAAUUAUUGGAAAGCAAUCAAAGACAAUUAGCUUAAUUUCAGUUGCAUCUUCACAUUUAGUGAUGAAAAAGACUCGCUCCCUAUCUAAAUUAUAAUUCAUUCUAAACUUUCAUAUGGAUUAACAGUUAAAAAAGAAAAUUUGAGCAAUUUCAAUCUAUCAUCUUUGUAACGUGUUUCUUAUCAUGACACUUAUGAAAGUGACUAAUCCAAGUUUUAUUCCAUUU
rnacentral:lncRNA from 1 species